rnacentral:rRNA from 1 species
UACGGAGGGGGCUAGCGUUGCUCGGAAUCACUGGGCGUAAAGGGUGCGUAGGCGGGUCUUUAAGUCAGGGGUGAAAUCCUGGAGCUCAACUCCAGAACUGCCUUUGAUACUGCGGGUCUCGAGUCCGGGAGAGGUGAGUGGAAUUCCUAGUGUAGAGGUGAAAUUCGUAGAUAUUAGGAAGAACACCAGUGGCGAAGGCGGCUCACUGGCCCGGUACUGACGCUGAGGCGCGAAAGCGUGGGGAGCAAACAGG